rnacentral:misc_RNA from 1 species
AAAGUGCGAUACGUAGUGCGACCUGCACGAACCUGCGAGUCACCAAGUCUUUGAACGCAUCUUGCGCUCCCCGGAGCAUGUUCCCUUGAGCCGGGCAAAUCAACAUUGAUAUCUAUCAAUGCGCUGGGGCACGAGCGCGUCUCUGCCCUGAAAAGUGUGCCCGUCGGCAGUCUGAGCCAGGCGACCGGUGGUAGGUGUGUCUGUGAUUUCGAUCGCAAGCACAUUUGCCCCCGACAUCCAACCCAGACUAACGACUUAUCCACCCGCUCAAGUGGAGCAGGACCACCCGCUGGACUUAA